rnacentral:siRNA from 1 species
UACAUGGUGUAUACUGAUGCCUC